CGAGGUGGAAAAGGAAGAGGAGGAGGAGGUGGAGGAGGAGGGUGAGAGCGAGAGAGAAGAGCGCGAAGGGUUAGCUACUAAGGUAAUGGAGGGGCAGGGGAAGGGUACCGGUGGGGAGGGUAUAAUACGCGUCUGCCUUGCGCCACCAAACACCCACCAACCCCCUUCUUCCACAGGUGACUCAUACAGGUAUUCUCUCUCUCUCCACAGCACACGUGUCCCUCGCUACAGUUCUCAGCGCCGGAUGUUUACACAGCGUCCUCGGGCGUUUGGUGAAAUGUUACGUGGUUCCAUUACCUUGUGUUCCUUCUUUUCCUUGUUUUCUUUCAUACUUGUUCUUCUUUCCUUCCUCUUAUUCCUCCUUUUAUCUGUCUAUCUUCUUUUCCUUCUUACUUAUUCCUUCUUGUCAUCCAUUCGUCUCCUUAUUUUCCUUUUUAUUCCUUCUUGUUAUCUAUUCGUUUCCUUAUUUUCCUUCUUCCAUUCUCUUUUCUCCUCUCUUUAUUCAUAUGUGUCUAUCUAUCUUCUUUUUUUCCUCUCCUUUCCUUCGUAUUCGUAUGUGUAUCUAUCUCCUUUCCUUCUUCCCUUCCUUCUUGUUUUUAAUUUUAUCUGUAUUUUCUUUUCUUCUUCCUUCCCUUAUUAACUUUUCCUUCUCUCUAACUCUCUAUCUUCUUUUCCUCUCUUCCAUUUUUCCUGUUUUAUCCUUUUUUCUUAAUUUUACUUUUUAUUCAACUAUCUAUCUUUUCGUAUGUGUAUCUGUCUCCUUCUUCCCUUUCUUUCUUCUUGUUUUUAAUGUUAUCUGUAUUUUCUUUCCUCCUUCCUUCCGUUAUUAACUUUUCCUUCUCUCUAACUCUCUAUCUUCUUCUCUUCUAUCUUUCCUCUUUAUCCUUUUCUUCUGAAGUUUUACUCUUUAUUUAUUCUAUCUAUCUUUUCUUCUUAUUUAUCUUUAUCUUAUCUUCUUCCUUUCCUUCUCUUCCUACUUAUACGAUCUUCUUAUUCCUAAUAUAUUUCCAUCUAUCUCCUUUGUUUCUGCUUCGCUUCUUUCCUACUUACAUCCUUCCCGGUUAUUCCCACUAUCUAUCUAUCUUCUUAUUUCACUCCCGGAUAGGAACUGGUUUUUAUUUACGUGGAAGUUUGUAAAUAAUUAUAUACACGUACAAGAGUUAAAAAAAUAAAUAUCUCUCUUGGAUUCUUACUCACAGUGAUAUGCAUUUUUUUUUGGUUUUGUGUGUGUGUGUGUGUGUGUGUGUGUGUGUGUGUGUGUGUGUGUGUGUGUGCGCGUUUUUUAGGUUCUAUUUCGUAUUCAUAACAUUCUACAGUCACCAAAUGUUUAUGUGAAUUCGUAAAUGGACAUGAAUCUUUUUUAUGAUAUAGCGAUCUAGAAUUCUCGCUUAUGUUAUGCUAUGUUACGUUACGUGUUGUUAUGCUUCAUGCUAAGUUAUGUGAAGUUCUAAGUUAUGUGAUGCUCUGUGUUUUAUGAUAUAGCGGCCUAGGGUUGUCGCUUACUAAUGUUAUGUUAUGUUAGGUUAAGUUAGGUUAGGUUAGAUUAUGGUGUUAUGUUAUGUUAGGGUAAGUUAGAUUAGAUUAGAUGAGGUUAGGUUAGGUUAGGAAGUUAGGUUAGGUUAGAACAUGUUGUAAUGUUAUGCUAUGCUAUGUUACUUUUUGUUAAAUUAUGUUAUCCUUCAUGUUGUGUUCUAUUAUAGUAUGAAGUUAUGCUAUGUUUUGUUUUUUAAUGUGUUUUUGUUGUUGUGCUGCGUUAUGUUAUGCUGUGUUACGUUAUAUUAUGUGAUGUGAUGGUCUGUUUCCGUACUAACUUCGUACUAACGUGAUGCAUACCUGUACGUGACUAGACGAACCUCACCUCUACCACAACAAUCUCAGGUGUUGUUAUGUUAUGUUAUGCUACGUUACGUUAUCUCAUGAUGUUAUGUUAUGUGUUGUUGAGUGAUGCCAUGUCUCGUAAUGACUACUUAUAAAUGUGGUAUGUCUGUACGUGACUAGACAACCCUCACGUCUACCACAACGAUCUCAGGUGUUGUUAUGUUAUGUUAUGCUAUGUUACGUUAUCUCAUGGUGUUAUGUUACGUGUUGUUGAGUGAUGCUGUCUCUUAAUGACUACUUAUAAACAUGGUAUGCCUGUACGUGACUAGUCAACCCUCACGUCUUCCACAACGAUCUCAGGUGUUGUUAUGUUAUAUUAUGCUAUGUUACGUUAUCUCAUGGUGUUAUGUUAUGUAUUGUUGAGUGAUGCUAUGUCUCGUAAUGACUACUUAUAAACAUGGUAUGCCUGUACGUGACUAGACAACCCUCACGUCUACCACAACGAUCUCAGGUAUUAGCGUAAACGUCAGCAUACCUUGGGCAGGCGACUUCUGGGGAGCGUCAGUAGUCCAGCAGAUUCACGUUUAACACUCCUUCUCCUUCCUUGCAGGCGAUGAGUAAGCCACACACGGCAAGGGGGCACAGGACGAGCCUUCACGAGUUAUAAUGGAGAGAAGAUCCAGUCAGUCACACACGGAGCGAGGGCCCGGACGUACGCACCCCUCCCAGACCAGAGCAUGACUGAAGACUGAAGUGCGUCAGAGCUCACGAGUUAUCGAAGCGCAGUGAAGGAUCGGAAGGCGUGUGAGACGAAGCUUCGAGUAAUGAUUCAGUCACGGCUUCAUCAACCCCUGGACAGUGGACAUUCCCGCGGCGUUAGUGAGCUCCCAGACGUCGCUUGAGAAAGGGUUCUCCAAGAGUGGGAAGAGCGGCUGCGUGGAGGCUUGUUCGGGGAGACUGUCGUGGGUCGAGGCGGGUUGAGAGUGAAGCGACGCACCCCCAAACGGAUGUUCCCCGUUAGUAGUAGUCGGUCCUUCAAGUAUUCGACAGGACCCUUCGAGGACGUCAUAUAACUAGUAGUUAGUAGAGAGGGUAGUGGGCUGCUUACGAGCGAUGCCGUGGCACCACCAGGUUCUUCCUCAAAUCUUUCUGUACCAGUCCUCGGCGCAUCUUGAAUCCCGCCACGCAAUUGGGACUACUGUCGUCCUCACCGCCUGACACACAAGUUAUCAUCAGACUUUUCCUCCCAACUCCCCUGCACCAGCAAGGUGCAGGGUUACAUCAUGAGCUUCUAGAUCCUGUCAACCAUAAAACUUAAGCAGCUUGAGGACUUUGAUGAAGUAUAGCAUCAGGGGCAGCGACAGGACAUGUGGUGUUACUGAAGAGGUGGCCGACCAGUGACGGCUUCAGUUUCAUGGCUAUCAACUAAGUAGGGCUUUCUUUCGUGUACGAUAUUGACGAUCACUUUUCUUCUUCCCAGCGCAGCUCUGAAAUGUAAUGAUAAACAAUUACUAGACGUAAAUGGUGUUAUAA